rnacentral:rRNA from 1 species
GGGUUGUGAGGUUAAGCGACUAAGCGUACACGGUGGAUGCCCUGGCAGUCAGAGGCGAUGAAGGACGUGCUAAUCUGCGAUAAGCGUCGGUAAGGUGAUAUGAACCGUUAUAACCGGCGAUUUCCGAAUGGGGAAACCCAGUGUGAUUCGUCACACUAUCAUUAACUGAAUCCAUAGGUUAAUGAGGCGAACCGGGGGAACUGAAACAUCUAAGUACCCCGAGGAAAAGAAAUCAACCGAGAUUCCCCCAGUAGCGGCGAGCGAACGGGGAGCAGCCCAGAGCCUGAAUCAGUGUGUGUGUUAGUGGAAGCGUCUGGAAAGGCGCGCGAUACAGGGUGACAGCCCCGUACACAAAAAUGCACAUGCUGUGAGCUCGAUGAGUAGGGCGGGACACGUGGUAUCCUGUCUGAAUAUGGGGGGACCAUCCUCCAAGGCUAAAUACUCCUGACUGACCGAUAGUGAACCAGUACCGUGAGGGAAAGGCGAAAAGAACCCCGGCGAGGGGAGUGAAAAAGAACCUGAAACCGUGUACGUACAAGCAGUGGGAGCACGCUUAGGCGUGUGACUGCGUACCUUUUGUAUAAUGGGUCAGCGACUUAUAUUCUGUAGCAAGGUUAACCGAAUAGGGGAGCCGAAGGGAAACCGAGUCUUAACUGGGCGUUAAGUUGCAGGGUAUAGACCCGAAACCCGGUGAUCUAGCCAUGGGCAGGUUGAAGGUUGGGUAACACUAACUGGAGGACCGAACCGACUAAUGUUGAAAAAUUAGCGGAUGACUUGUGGCUGGGGGUGAAAGGCCAAUCAAACCGGGAGAUAGCUGGUUCUCCCCGAAAGCUAUUUAGGUAGCGCCUCGUGAAUUCAUCUCCGGGGGUAGAGCACUGUUUCGGCAAGGGGGUCAUCCCGACUUACCAACCCGAUGCAAACUGCGAAUACCGGAGAAUGUUAUCACGGGAGACACACGGCGGGUGCUAACGUCCGUCGUGAAGAGGGAAACAACCCAGACCGCCAGCUAAGGUCCCAAAGUCAUGGUUAAGUGGGAAACGAUGUGGGAAGGCCCAGACAGCCAGGAUGUUGGCUUAGAAGCAGCCAUCAUUUAAAGAAAGCGUAAUAGCUCACUGGUCGAGUCGGCCUGCGCGGAAGAUGUAACGGGGCUAAACCAUGCACCGAAGCUGCGGCAGCGACGCUUAUGCGUUGUUGGGUAGGGGAGCGUUCUGUAAGCCUGUGAAGGUGUGCUGUGAGGCAUGCUGGAGGUAUCAGAAGUGCGAAUGCUGACAUAAGUAACGAUAAAGCGGGUGAAAAGCCCGCUCGCCGGAAGACCAAGGGUUCCUGUCCAACGUUAAUCGGGGCAGGGUGAGUCGACCCCUAAGGCGAGGCCGAAAGGCGUAGUCGAUGGGAAACAGGUUAAUAUUCCUGUACUUGGUGUUACUGCGAAGGGGGGACGGAGAAGGCUAUGUUGGCCGGGCGACGGUUGUCCCGGUUUAAGCGUGUAGGCUGGUUUUCCAGGCAAAUCCGGAAAAUCAAGGCUGAGGCGUGAUGACGAGGCACUACGGUGCUGAAGCAACAAAUGCCCUGCUUCCAGGAAAAGCCUCUAAGCAUCAGGUAACAUCAAAUCGUACCCCAAACCGACACAGGUGGUCAGGUAGAGAAUACCAAGGCGCUUGAGAGAACUCGGGUGAAGGAACUAGGCAAAAUGGUGCCGUAACUUCGGGAGAAGGCACGCUGAUAUGUAGGUGAAGCGACUUGCUCGUGGAGCUGAAAUCAGUCGAAGAUACCAGCUGGCUGCAACUGUUUAUUAAAAACACAGCACUGUGCAAACACGAAAGUGGACGUAUACGGUGUGACGCCUGCCCGGUGCCGGAAGGUUAAUUGAUGGGGUCAGCGCAAGCGAAGCUCUUGAUCGAAGCCCCGGUAAACGGCGGCCGUAACUAUAACGGUCCUAAGGUAGCGAAAUUCCUUGUCGGGUAAGUUCCGACCUGCACGAAUGGCGUAAUGAUGGCCAGGCUGUCUCCACCCGAGACUCAGUGAAAUUGAACUCGCUGUGAAGAUGCAGUGUACCCGCGGCAAGACGGAAAGACCCCGUGAACCUUUACUAUAGCUUGACACUGAACAUUGAGCCUUGAUGUGUAGGAUAGGUGGGAGGCUUUGAAGUGUGGACGCCAGUCUGCAUGGAGCCGACCUUGAAAUACCACCCUUUAAUGUUUGAUGUUCUAACGUUGACCCGUAAUCCGGGUUGCGGACAGUGUCUGGUGGGUAGUUUGACUGGGGCGGUCUCCUCCUAAAGAGUAACGGAGGAGCACGAAGGUUGGCUAAUCCUGGUCGGACAUCAGGAGGUUAGUGCAAUGGCAUAAGCCAGCUUGACUGCGAGCGUGACGGCGCGAGCAGGUGCGAAAGCAGGUCAUAGUGAUCCGGUGGUUCUGAAUGGAAGGGCCAUCGCUCAACGGAUAAAAGGUACUCCGGGGAUAACAGGCUGAUACCGCCCAAGAGUUCAUAUCGACGGCGGUGUUUGGCACCUCGAUGUCGGCUCAUCACAUCCUGGGGCUGAAGUAGGUCCCAAGGGUAUGGCUGUUCGCCAUUUAAAGUGGUACGCGAGCUGGGUUUAGAACGUCGUGAGACAGUUCGGUCCCUAUCUGCCGUGGGCGCUGGAGAACUGAGGGGGGCUGCUCCUAGUACGAGAGGACCGGAGUGGACGCAUCACUGGUGUUCGGGUUGUCAUGCCAAUGGCACUGCCCGGUAGCUAAAUGCGGAAGAGAUAAGUGCUGAAAGCAUCUAAGCACGAAACUUGCCCCGAGAUGAGUUCUCCCUGACUCCUUGAGAGUCCUGAAGGAACGUUGAAGACGACGACGUUGAUAGGCCGGGUGUGUAAGCGCAGCGAUGCGUUGAGCUAACCGGUACUAAUGAACCGUGAGGCUUAACCUUACAACGCCGAAG